GACGAACGCUGGCGGCGUGCUUAACACAUGCAAGUCGAACGGAAAGGCCCUGCUUUUGUGGGGUGCUCGAGUGGCGAACGGGUGAGUAACACGUGAGUAACCUGCCCUUGACUUUGGGAUAACUUCAGGAAACUGGGGCUAAUACCGGAUAGGAGCUCCUGCUGCAUGGUGGGGGUUGGAAAGUUUCGGCGGUUGGGGAUGGACUCGCGGCUUAUCAGCUUGUUGGUGGGGUAGUGGCUUACCAAGGCUUUGACGGGUAGCCGGCCUGAGAGGGUGACAGGCCACAUUGGGACUGAGAGACGGCCCAGACUCCUACGGGAGGCAGCAGUGGGGAAUAUUGCACAAUGGGCGGAAGCCUGAUGCAGCAACGCCGCGUGCGGGAUGACGGCCUUCGGGUUGUAAACCGCUUUCGCCUGUGACGAAGCGUGAGUGACGGUAAUGGGUAAAGAAGCACCGGCUAACUACGUG
rnacentral:rRNA from 1 species